rnacentral:lncRNA from 1 species
UUUUUUUUUUUUUGCUAAUAAAAGGCAUGGGGUUCAUUGUACUCAUUUUGUCUUCUCACCCGACCCUUCUUCUGGCACUAGCACCUACUGAGCUUGGUUGGAGAGUUCCUUAGAAUGUCCCUUGACUAAUAAGGUGGAGGCUUGGCCAUGCCUCAUAAGCUAUGGAAGGAAUGAUGGACAAGGCUUUUAAAAUCUGCCCGGCUCCUGUUUCCUAUGCCAUCCGUCAUGAAUUGUGAGCGAGUUGUUUCUGUUUGUAAAAUAGGAGCAGAGAUGAGGUCGUGACAGACGCAGCUUUGGUAAAAGGCGCUUCAGCUUUCUGAUGGACGAGAACAUCUCGUGGCUUCUCUUUGCUGGGGGCAGAUUCCUUCAACACUUUUUUUUUUCUCUCCCCAUUUUGCUUUAAGCUGAAUCUGCCAAAGGAAAUGCCUGAGAUUCAAAGUCCAAGUUAACAACAAAUGAAUGCUUUUAAGUGGCGUGUCAUUGUGGUUUUUUUCUUCAGAUUAUUUGGGGAAACUUAAUUUUAUUAACUAGGAGAGAACUAAAUGGAGGAAAUAGCCCACAAAUAAUGUUCCCUGACCCAGGUCCCAGGAUUCUAGUGCAUGUUGGUGCCCACUUUAAUGAACUGUUUGUAUUUGACAAGCACUCUUGUGUUGGAGGCAAAAUAAGUGCCUGUUCCCCCCAAAUGUCCACAUCCUAAUCGCGCAGAGUCUGUGAAUGUUGUUUGACAUGACAAGAGGCACUUUGCAGAUAUGAUUAAGGGCACAGACCUGGAGGUGGAGAGGUCUUCUUUGGAUUAUCUGAGUGGAUCCAACCUACUCACCUGAGUCCUUAAAAUCGGAGGACUUUUCCUGGCUGUGGUGAGAAAGAAAGAAAGAAUGGCCCGAGAAGGAUCUGAUGCCCCACCACUGGUCCUGAGAUACAGGGGCUGUGUGCCAGGAGCUGAGUUCUGCCAACAGCCUCACUCAGUGAGAGAAUGACCUUCUCUGAGAGCCUCUAGAAAGGAGGCUAACUCUGCCAAUGUUUUGAUUUUAGCCUGGUGAGACCCGAAUUCUGACCAACAGAACUGUAAGGUAAUGCAGGUGUAUCGCAUUAAACCACAGAGUUUGAGGUUCUUUGUUAUAGCAGCAACAGCAAACUAAUACAUCUCAGUUUCUCUGGUGUAGAGUUUUCCUAAUAACGAGGAACCAAUCAGGAAGGGCUGAAUCAUUUCCUUUCAAAAUCAAAAGCUCUGGCUCCAGUGUUUCAGUGGAUUCCAGCUUGUGGUCCUGCGUUGCUUGGAUGUCGGAAGACUUGUGAUCAACAGCUAAGAGGAUGUGAAUGAAUAUUAAUGGAGCAUCCUCCAAGUUCCAGGGAUACUGAUUAUCCUGCUUUACCGUUAAUCCUACUAACCUGUGAGGUCAAUCAUAUCAUAUUUUACAGACCAGAAACUGUUUCUGAGAGGUUAACAGCAACUUUUCUGAGCUUAAGGAAGUAGCAAGUGACAGCGAAGUUGUGAACCUCCAGAAAAUACGUUCUUUCUAUUUUCCGCCCUAUGCUUGCCUCCUUCUUAGCAAGCCUCGGGAGUCAGGAAAUCAAGUGUCGUGGCUGAGUCUCCCAUCACAGUAAACAAGAGAAUAGAAUCACUUGUUUCUUUGGUUGAGAAAACAUUGCUGAAGAUGAGGGACAUUGCCCCUGACCUUUUUUUUUAAACCCACAGUGGGACAGGGUCGGGGGGGGGUGUCCCCAGACAGACUGGCUUAUCUCUUAGUCUCUACUCAAGUUCUCAUCUGUGUACUUGACUUUGCUCAUUGCUCAUCAGCAAGGCCUGUGGCUCACAGAAAAUGCACCCGGUUUCUUAGCCAGGGAAUCAGGUUGAUAUUUAAGACGAAAGAGGAUUGCAAAAAGAAAAGAUUGUUUAUUUUAAAUGGUCACUUGGGACUGGCUUUGCAGAUCCUACCGCUUUAAGCCAGAUUUUGGUUCGAUUGCUGGCAGUGCUGGUUGGAUUAGACGUGUGCAACAUGCUCCUGAGACCCCAAGAUCCUCUGCCAGCCAUUAAACGGUCCUGCAGGUCGUAGGGGGGAACGCUGACUAUCAGCUCACGAAGCCCAGCCCCACCCCUGUGCUGGGAGACGGCUUCCUUACACCCAGCCUCUAGACAGGAUUUGUUUAAUGGGUGGUUUUAAAGCACUUCCUCUGCCACAUUAAGUCACGAGGGUCAAAAAUACUACCUGCUUCCGAGGAGCAUCUAGUUAGAGGGAGGGAGGGGGCUGUUUGAAAAAGACCAAUAGGGAGUUCCUGUCAUGGUGCAGUGGAAACGAAUUCAACUAGGAACCAUGAGGUUGUGGGUUCGAUCCCUGGCCUCGCUUAGUGGGUUAAGGAUCCAGCGUUGCUCUGAGCCGUGGUGGAGGUCGCAGAUUCAGCUUGGAUCUGGCGUUGCUGUGGCUCUGGUGUAGGCCGGUGGCAACAGCUCCCAAUAGACCCCUAGCCUGGGGACCUCCAUAUGCCAUGGGUGUGGCCCUAAAAAGACAAAAAAAAAGGAACCAACAGGUUUCAGUAAACAGAUAGUCCUGUGCUCCACAGGUGAGGAGGAGACUCGAAGGUCACCCAGCGCAUGCCCAGGUUUGGGGGAGGCAGGCAAAGUCGGUGGCCUGUGUUUGCUCAUGGGUUGGUCCAGGAGGAUCCCUACAGCAGCACCCUGCGAGGCUUGAGAAUCAGGUCCUUAGACCCUGAGGGCUACAGCUCAGUGUGUGCGCCUGGCUAGACCCCUCUGGGGGGUGAAACUGGCACCUCUGAUCCCCCACCGCCACCCCAGGAUGUCGAAUGCCAGCUUAGACCAUGAGCUCUUCUGAAUUGCCUUCUCAGCAGCUGGAGCAUGCUUCUAGAAACUUCUCUUCUGUCAGCUGCUGGAAAUCUGUCCUAGAUGCUCCUUCCCCUAGCUGCUGGCUGGGGCCAGUGCCCAACCUCUCUGUUUUCUGUUGGAUUGAUGUCUUUGUGUUAUUUCCCGCAGCUUGUAAGUUGCUCUUGAGACUCCAAGCUCUCCUCUCCUAUCCCGUUCUGCCUCUGGGUCAGCUUCUGUCCCCCCAUCCUCCCAUCCCAGGCUUCUCGCCGCCUCGCUGGUGGCUCAGUUCCAUUCAAGUCCCAGAGCGUCUCAUUUGGGAGUUGGAACAGCAACAGAUCGGACCCUGGAUUCAGCCCUGUGGGGCCUCCUUGAUUUAUACCCAUCGGGUUUAUAACUCCCCUUCGAGGCUUUAACUUCGACCCUAGAGCCCGGCCAACACAAUGCCCAGCUCUGCAACUUGGCACAGAAACUGCAGCCUAGGAUAGAAGAAAAUCCUUACUGAGAUUAAAAAAAAAAAAAAGAAAAAGAAAAA